rnacentral:rRNA from 1 species
GCAAGUCGAGCGGUAGUAAAUUUUAGCUUGCUAAAAUUUAUGAGAGCGGCGAACGGGUGAGUAACACGUUGGUAUCUACCCCCAAGUCAGGGAUAGCCAUUGGAAACGAUGAUUAAUACCGGAUAGUCUCUUCGGAGUAAAAAUUUAUUGCUUGGGGAGGAACCUACGUUCUAUCAGCUUGUUGGUAAGGUAAUGGCUUACCAAGGCUAUGACGGAUAGCUGGUCUGAGAGGAUGAUC